rfam:Oryzias latipes DNA, chromosome13, strain: Hd-rR.
GUCAGGAUGGCCGAGUGGUCCAAGGCACUGCGUUCAGGUUGCAGUCUCAGAAGAGGUGUAGGUUCAAAUCCCACUUCUGACA